CAAUGUUCUCUAGAAGAAAUUUUUUUUUCUUCCAGGGAGUAAUAUUUAAUAGUCAUUCAGUAGCCCCAUAGAAAGGAAGGGUACUGUACCAUUGUACCUGAUUUAAUCUAAAUUUGAUCACUGUUAUCCUUAGUGGGAGGCAAUGUAAUUUUGAUGAGAGCUAAUUACAUUUGCAUAAUGUGGAUAAACAGCGUAAUGUAGCUCAGCAACUUGUAGUCAAAUUUGAUCUGUCUGUCUCAAUGGGGUUUUACUUGUUACUGUGCUCUCAGAGUUGAAGGCUAAUUUGAAUCUUUGAUGAACAUAAAAUAAGAGAUCAUAACAGCUAAGAAGAAAAUGACUUACCUAGUUUUGGAUUCCUGAGUUACUGAGAAGAAACUUUGUUCAAAUGUAAGUGCUAAAAAUAGGGCAGUAGUUUGUAAAGAAGAUAAAGUGUCAUGUUCUGAAGCUUGAAGUAUUUUAAGUCUUCUUAAAAAUGUUUGAUGUAAAGACAACAUGCAGCUGUGAUUAAAAGUUGUUUUUACUCAA